ACAAGGCCCCUGACAACAAGAAAGGCACAAGGCCCCUUCGCGUUCGGUCUCCCUGAUCUCUCCUUCCGAACAAAUCUCUAGGGUUUGGGCGCCGCCAACCCCGCCCCUCACGAUGCCAACAACGAGAUGGAGAAGGAUGUCGAGGUGGUGGUGACGGUCGCAUCACUCCCCGGCGGCCGGCGAAGGCAUCUUUUGCUGGCAGUGUCGAAUCAGCCGUGGCGGUGGCGGCAGGGCACAUCCCGACAAGUUGGCGAUGACAUGCUACCACCUAUUAUCGCCGCAAGCUCGGAGCCUCGGACUUGACCGGGUGUUAUACUGUUAACUGACAUGGCGGAGGCUCGGAGGCGACCCGGAGGUGAACUGCAUAUGUGCGAGCUCAAGCACAACCACAAGACCUCAAUUCCGACGUUCCUCUCCACCUGUGGCAACUUCACACUCGUAAGCCCCUCCUCUUUCCACAUGCACGUAGUAGCACAUUGCCUGAUAUGUUGGCCCAAGUAUUAUCUUUGCGGUGCUCUUAUUGUUAGUUCAGACUUGCAGACCCAUGUUUUUUGCUCAGAGCGAUGGCCAUAACAUGUUUGUAUAUAGUGGUGGUUGUGCUAAUCAAACCCUUUGUUUGAUGAAUUUAGUAGAAGGUAUUUAGUUAUGGAACCAUUGUUUAGGCAGAGAGACUCCACGUGAGUCGUGUGGUUAUUUCUGUUUGAAUCAGUGAACUGGUGAGGCAUGUUUGCAAGUAAUUUUCUCCAUGGAAUUAGUAUUCUAUAUAUGCGGCUGCUAUUUCUGUUUUAUUUCUUUAUGAGCUUCCGUUGAUUAGUGUUAAGCAAUCAACAUGCACGAGCUGGUUUGAGUCUAUCCAGAUUUCUUUUGAUAUAAGACACCAUAUAGUUCAUUUCUGGAUUAGUCACUGCAUCUUGUUUGGUUUGUUCUUUGGUUCUGUGAUUAGACGAGGGUGAGUGCCAUGGUCGUCUAUGUUGGGCUUCUGCACGACAGCGUUGAUGAUUCGUUUGUUGAAUAUGAUCACAUCUUCCACAUGUUCGGUGCUGGAGUGGCUGAUCUCGUGGAAGGGUUAUGUAUUCCUCUUCUCACGGAUUUUGACCAUUGUUUAAGAGGGAUUCGGAUAAUGGGUUUGGUAGUUAGUACAUUCAUAUUCGUUGGCAUCCUCAAGCUGUUGGCUAGAUCUACUGCAAAUAUUGUGAUUUAAAUUAUGAUGGCCUGCAGUAUGCCUCCCUAUAUUUAAGGCAAAUGAUCAUGGAAGUACACCUUCAGGAACAAGCUCGCCGAGGUCUUGGAAUUCCAACAUAGGUAAACAAGUGAACUCAUUUAACGGUUUCCCCUUUUCUGGCGAUGCGUGUAUAACUCAUUCAUUAAGGGCUACUCAGCUCUGUAUUUUUUUCUCUUUGGUAAUUGGAUUAUAUGCUACUCUGUGUUGAAGGAUCUGUUCAUGCUAAAUUUAACAAAUCUUUUCAUGUUUUCAUAAAUUACCUAUUUGAUCACUCUGCGUGGAAUGGUAAACAUUUGUAGUAUGGUCAGGGUUUGAUUAUUUUUAACAGUGCACAUACCUUCAGAAAAUAAACCAAUGAGGCUAUCUUGUUCGUCUUUCUACUUAUGUAUGUAUACAUAUGGGAUGCUUUGUUAGUUCUGUUGUGCAAAUAAUCAUUCUUUGUGUUGAUGAGCUAUGAUAAUGGCUCCCCAAAUUACAAUACUUGCUGAACGUACACUUUGUUGCGAUGAAAUCCUAUAUAUAAACAUAUUUUCCUAAUGAAUUGUGAUUAAACUUUGCUGCUUUUACCCACUUUGGUGCUGUUUCAGUGUAUAUGUACUAAAUUGUAAAAGAAGAUGAUUGUAUAUUUUGCUUUAUAGUACACCGGUUCAUGAGAACGAUGCUGAGAAGAUUCAGCUUGCUGUGCUAAAUGUCAUUCUGGCUUGACUCGAUAAUAUCAUGGUAACAUCGUGGAAUAUUUUAUUUUUUAUUGUAACAAACUGUAGUCAAAUUCAUCAGAUAUAUAUACUUUCAGGAUCGGAGGAACAAGUAGUUUUAGCCUUCUGUUUUCGAAUUUUUAGUUUAACAUCUCUGUACUUGUUGAAGCUGUUAUCUCCAACUCUACAUGAGCAUAGUGAUAUGCAGUAUAAAAAAUCUCCAUAUUUUUCUUCUUUGGUGAGCAUGGAAUAUCCAAAUUGACAUCUAAAGAUAGAUAAGUUAGUAGGGUAUAAUGUUGGCUAGCUUUUUUUAGGAUCAAAAUUGAUGUAUUAAUUUUCUUGUCAAAGGAUGAUUAACGGAAUCGUGGUAUUGCGGCCAAAAUAUACUCUCUUCAGUUUGUUGGUAAUGAGCAAAAUGUAGUGCUACUGGUAAUGUGAUUUGGAUUUGUGUGUGAAAUACAUUGUUGCAUGCAUGUUUCCAAAAUGAAAAAUGUAAUGGUUCCGAACAUAGCUGGAGAUAAAUUAUUUGCAGCAGCUAGGCAACAACAGUGCCAUGGAUACAGUUAAAAGUACUAGCAAUUGAUGAUAUUGUCAUAGCAAUUUUAAUUUGGAAAAAAUAUGUGUGAGAUUAAUCUUUUCUUUUCUUUCAUGCAAGGAAGAUAGUACAAAGUAUACUACAAUUUGUUGUAACCCACACAAUGAUUCAAGAAGCAGGGCCAAACAGGGCCAAUGAAGACAUAGCGUACAUUACUGUUCUUUAGGAUAUGAUGUUCAUUUUUCCCCACAACUAACUUCAAUAUUUAAUUCUUUGUGAGACAACUACUAAAAUAAGGUACUUUAUAGGUUUUUCAUUCCAUGUAUUGUGCAUAUUUUUAUGUGCGUACUUGACUCAGAUGCAAGCUACUCGCAGUACGUAUA